CUAAGCCUAAGCCUAAGCCUAAGUCUCAGCCUAAGCCUAAGCCUAAGCCUAAGCCUAAGCCUAAGCCUAAGCCUAAGCCUAAGCCUAAGCCUAAGCCUAAGCCUAAGCCUAAGCCUAAGCCUAAGCCUAAGCCUAAGCCUAAGCCUAAGCCUAAGCCUAAGCCUAAGCCUAAGCCUAAGCCUAAGCCUAAAA
ensembl:ncRNA 2RSSE.7 ncRNA